rnacentral:rRNA from 1 species
CUACGGGGGGCUGCAGUGGGGAAUAUUGGACAAUGGGCGAAAGCCUGAUCCAGCCAUGCCGCGUGUGUGAAGAAGGCCUUCGGGUUGUAAAGCACUUUCAGUGGGGAAGAAAGCCUUGGGGCUAAUACCCUCGAGGAAGGACAUCACCCACAGAAGAAGCACCGGCUAACUCCGUGCCAGCAGCCGCGGUAAUACGGAGGGUGCGAGCGUUAAUCGGAAUUACUGGGCGUAAAGCGCGCGUAGGCGGUCUGAUAAGCCGGUUGUGAAAGCCCCGGGCUCAACCUGGGAACGGCAUCCGGAACUGUCAGGCUAGAGUGCAGGAGAGGAAGGUAGAAUUCCCGGUGUAGCGGUGAAAUGCGUAGAGAUCGGGAGGAAUACCAGUGGCGAAGGCGGCCUUCUGGACUGACACUGACGCUGAGGUGCGAAAGCGUGGGUAGCAAACAGGAUUAGAUCCCCCGGUAGUC